GACGAACGCUGGCGGCGUGCUUAACACAUGCAAGUCGAACGGAAAGGCCCUGCUUUUGUGGGGUGCUCGAGUGGCGAACGGGUGAGUAACACGUGAGUAACCUGCCCUUGACUUUGGGAUAACUUCAGGAAACUGGGGCUAAUACCGGAUAGGAGCUCCUGCUGCAUGGUGGGGGUUGGAAAGUUUCGGCGGUUGGGGAUGGACUCGCGGCUUACCAGCUUGUUGGUGGGGUAGUGGCUUACCAAGGCUUUGACGGGUAGCCGGCCUGAGAGGGUGAACGGCCACAUUGGGACUGAGGUACGGCCCAGUGUCCUACGGGAGGCAGCAGUGGGGAAUAUUGCACAAUGGGCGGAAGCCUGAUGCAGCAACGCCGCGUGCGGGAUGACGGCCUUCGGGUUGUAAACCGCUUUCGCCUGUGACGAAGCGUGAGUGACGGUAAUAGGUAAAGAAGCACCGGCUAACUACGUG
rnacentral:rRNA from 1 species